rnacentral:rRNA from 1 species
UACGAAGGGGGCUAGCGUUGCUCGGAAUUACUGGGCGUAAAGCGCACGUAGGCGGCUUUCUAAGUCGGGGGUGAAAUCCUGGAGCUCAACUCCAGAACUGCCUUCGAUACUGGAGAGCUCGAGUCCGGGAGAGGUGAGUGGAACUGCGAGUGUAGAGGUGAAAUUCGUAGAUAUUCGCAAGGACACCAGUGGCGAAGGCGGCUCACUGGCCCGGUACUGACGCUGAGGUGCGAAAGCGUGGGGAGCAAACAGG